UGUCUACUCCCUCCGUUCCAAAAUACUUGACUUCCAUUUGUCCAAAAAUGGAUGUACCUAUAUACUAAAACAUGUCUAGAUACAUAUAUAUUUUGACAAAUAGAAGGCAUGUAUUGUGCAACGGAGGGAGUAGAAU
rnacentral:pre_miRNA from 1 species